AUUUGGGUGAAAGCUGGAGUUUAGAGCUUGAAGCUUGGGGAAAACGAGAAGUUAGGGAUUGAAGGCAUAGUUUGAGCUUUUUCAGCCUCCACUUCAGCCAUCUUUGCCUGCUAAGCCCAUCCAGCCUUUCUGGUAGCUAGAAGAGCAUUGGCUUCAGCAACAUCAGCCUUCCUUUGAUUCUCAGCAAAAGGUUAAAGAGCUUGAGAGAAGAUUAAUUGAAGAGCAGGAACAUGACUUAAGGCUAUUUCACUUCGUCAGAAGGUGAUGCUUACUCUCUUU